rnacentral:rRNA from 1 species
UACGGACCGUACGAACGUUAUUCGGAAUCACUGGGCUUAAAGGGUGCGUAGGCGGUGCGGAAAGUUGGGUGUGAAAUCCCUCGGCUUAACCGAGGAACUGCGCCCAAAACUACCGUGCUCGAGGGAGACAGAGGUGAGCGGAACUUAGGGUGGAGCGGUGAAAUGCGUUGAUAUCCUAAGGAACACCGGUGGCGAAAGCGGCUCACUGGGUCUCUUCUGACGCUGAUGCACGAAAGCUAGGGGAGCGAACGGG